CCUACGGGAGGCAGCAGUGGGGAAUCUUGCGCAAUGGGCGAAAGCCUGACGCAGCAACGCCGCGUGCGGGAAGAAGGCUUUCGGGCUGUAAACCGCUUUCAGCAGGAACGAAAAUGACGGUACCUGCAGAAGAAGGAGCGGCCAACUAUGUGCCAGCAGCCGCGGUGAUACAUAGGCUUCAAGCGUUGUCCGGAUUUAUUGGGCGUAAAGAGUUCGUAGGCGGUCAAGUAAGUCGGGUGUGAAAAUUCUGGGCUCAACCCAGAGACGCCACCCGAUACUGCUUAACUUGAGUUCGAUAGGGGAGUGGGGAAUUCCUAGUGUAGCGGUGAAAUGCGCAGAUAUUAGGAGGAACACCGGUGGCGAAGGCGCCACUCUGGAUCGAUACUGACGCUGAGGAACGAAAGCAUGGGUAGCAAACAGGAUUAGAUACCCUGGUAGUCCAUGCCGUAAACGGUGGGCACUAGGUGUGGGUUUCUAUUAACGAAAUCCGCGCCGUCGCUAACGCAUUAAGUGCCCGCCUGGGGNGUACGUCGCGAGACUAAACUACAANAGAGUGUACGGCGUUGAGACGUUGCCGAACGGCGACGACGAGGGAGGUUAGG
rnacentral:rRNA from 1 species